GAUGAACGCUGGCGGCGUGCCUAAUACAUGCAAGUCGAGCGAACAGACGAGGAGCUUGCUCCUCUGACGUUAGCGGCGGACGGGUGAGUAACACGUGGAUAACCUACCUAUAAGACUGGGAUAACUUCGGGAAACCGGAGCUAAUACCGGAUAAUAUAUUGAACCGCAUGGUUCAAUAGUGAAAGACGGUUUUGCUGUCACUUAUAGAUGGAUCCGCGCCGCAUUAGCUAGUUGGUAAGGUAACGGCUUACCAAGGGAACGAUGCGUAGCCGACCUGAGAGGGGGAUCGGCCACACUGGAACUGAGACACGGUCCAGACUCCUACGGGAGGCAGCAGUAGGGAAUCUUCCGCAAUGGGCGAAAGCCUGACGGAGCAACGCCGCGUGAGUGAUGAAGGUCUUCGGAUCGUAAAACUCUGUUAUUAGGGAAGAACAAAUGUGUAAGUAACUAUGCACGUCUUGACGGUACCUAAUCAGAAAGCCACGGCUAACUACGUG
rnacentral:rRNA from 1 species